rnacentral:rRNA from 1 species
UGCAGAAUCCCGUGAACCAUCGAGUCUUUGAACGCAAGUUGCGCCCAAGGGACCCUCCCGAGGGCACGCCUGCCUCACGGGCGUUAGAAGCCCAUCCACGCUCGGUUGCCUAACGGCAAAAGAUGCGGACAUUGGCCCUCCGAACCGCGAGGCGCGGUGGGCCUAAGUGUGCGGCCGUCGUACGUGGCCGGGAGCGGCGAGUGGUGGGCUACUGCGCACGUCACCCCGAGCCCCGUACCGACGCAGGGCCUUGUUUGAACCCCUAACGAGGAGCAUGCUGCUGCGGCUUCGGCUGCGCGGCGUCUUCGGACCGAUACCCCAGGUCAGGCGGGGCUACCCGCCGAGUUUAAGCAUAUAAAUAAGCGGAGGAGAAGAAACUUACAAGGAUUCCCCUAGUAACGGCGAGCGAACCGGGAGAUGCCCAGCCUUAGAAUCGCGACGGCGCCGCCGUCCGA